ensembl:rRNA 5S_rRNA 5S ribosomal RNA
GUCUAUGUCCACACCACCUUGAACGUGCCUGGUUCCAACUGAUCUUGAAAGCUAAGCUGGGGCAGGCCUGGUUAGUAUUUGAAUGAGAGAGCACAUGGGACUAACGGGUGCUGUGGGCU